rnacentral:rRNA from 1 species
UACGGAGGGGGCUAGCGUUGUUCGGAAUUACUGGGCGUAAAGCGCACGUAGGCGGUUACUCAAGUCAGAGGUGAAAGCCCGGAGCUUAACUCCGGAAUUGCCUUUGAAACUAGGUGACUUGAAUCCAGGAGAGGUGAGUGGAAUUCCGAGUGUAGAGGUGAAAUUCGUAGAUAUUCGGAAGAACACCAGUGGCGAAGGCGGCUCACUGGACUGGUAUUGACGCUGAGGUGCGAAAGCGUGGGGAGCAAACAGGG